rnacentral:lncRNA from 1 species
CUCAUGUUUCAUUAAAUACAAAUCAAUUCCUUAACUAACUAAAUCGGUGUAUUUAUCAUCCUCACCUUAGUUUAACAAUGAUUUAGUAUCAUAUAACAUUGGUUUAUGCCAUUUAAUUAUUUUAUUAGCCAUGUCUAUUUUUGAAUCAAUCUCUAUAAUAGUUCCGUGUGAAUUAAAUCCGUUAUUUUUUUCUGAUAUAUGUUUCCUG